rnacentral:lncRNA from 1 species
ACAAGGAGGAAGAAGGGGCGUAGUGCCAUCGAUUCUAGUCAACACUCGCGGCUAGCUUGACGGUGGCAGCGACAUGUUGGUGGUGACAAGAGCCCGACGCCGCCGGUGUCGACCCUAGCUUGGCGGAGCGUGAGUGAUUGGAAAUCUCGAGAAAUCACGACAGUAAAGGACGUUGGUGUGGGAUUGCUCUGUUCGAAGCGAAGCGGGGCAUAGAACGAGACCCCGAUAGUGACUGGCGUCGUUGGCGGCGGUCUUGGUAACAAAUGGCAUCAUGACCUAAGGCGGGGAGGUUCUUCUUGCGUGAAGACAGGAAGUCUGAUGCUCUAGUAGAGAGCUAGGUAGUGGCGGCGGCACGAUGGGGACGAAGGGAGCUCGACGGGGAUGAGGGCCUCGACCUGUUGGCUCUGGCAACAAGUAUCGUUGUUGACGACGACGUGGACGGUACGGUGGUGGCCGGUUGAGUGAAGGUGUCUCUAGUUUCUUUCGUUUAGAGGAGAAGAUGACCUUUUCAUUUUCUCGCAUAAAAAUACCAGGAAUAUAAAAAAUUCACAUUUUCAGACAACAAACAAUUUUCAUCUAGAACUACGUAACCCUGAUUUCUCAUUUUGAGAAUACGUAGGAGCAAGGUCAAUUCUUAUCGGGCCC